AGAGUUUGAUCCUGGCUCAGGACGAACGCUGGCGGCGUGCCUAAUACAUGCAAGUCGAACGAACUCUGGUAUUGAUUGGUGCUUGCAUCAUGAUUUACAUUUGAGUGAGUGGCGAACUGGUGAGUAACACGUGGGAAACCUGCCCAGAAGCGGGGGAUAACACCUGGAAACAGAUGCUAAUACCGCAUAACAACUUGGACCGCAUGGUCCGAGCUUGAAAGAUGGCUUCGGCUAUCACUUUUGGAUGGUCCCGCGGCGUAUUAGCUAGAUGGUGGGGUAACGGCUCACCAUGGCAAUGAUACGUAGCCGACCUGAGAGGGUAAUCGGCCACAUUGGGACUGAGACACGGCCCAAACUCCUACGGGAGGCAGCAGUAGGGAAUCUUCCACAAUGGACGAAAGUCUGAUGGAGCAACGCCGCGUGAGUGAAGAAGGGUUUCGGCUCGUAAAACUCUGUUGUUAAAGAAGAACAUAUCUGAGAGUAACUGUUCAGGUAUUGACGGUAUUUAACCAGAAAGCCACGGCUAACUACGUGCCAGCAGCCGCGGUAAUACGUAGGUGGCAAGCGUUGUCCGGAUUUAUUGGGCGUAAAGCGAGCGCAGGCGGUUUUUUAAGUCUGAUGUGAAAGCCUUCGGCUCAACCGAAGAAGUGCAUCGGAAACUNGGAAACUUGAGUGCAGAAGAGGACAGUGGAACUCCAUGUGUAGCGGUGAAAUGCGUAGAUAUAUGGAAGAACACCAGUGGCGAAGGCGGCUGUCUGGUCUGUAACUGACGCUGAGGCUCGAAAGUAUGGGUAGCAAACAGGAUUAGAUACCCUGGUAGUCCAUACCGUAAACGAUGAAUGCUAAGUGUUGGAGGGUUUCCGCCCUUCAGUGCUGCAGCUAACGCAUUAAGCAUUCCGCCUGGGGAGUACGGCCGCAAGGCUGAAACUCAAAGGAAUUGACGGGGGCCCGCACAAGCGGUGGAGCAUGUGGUUUAAUUCGAAGCUACGCGAAGAACCUUACCAGGUCUUGACAUACUAUGCAAAUCUAAGAGAUUAGACGUUCCCUUCGGGGACAUGGAUACAGGUGGUGCAUGGUUGUCGUCAGCUCGUGUCGUGAGAUGUUGGGUUAAGUCCCGCAACGAGCGCAACCCUUAUUAUCAGUUGCCAGCAUUAAGUUGGGCACUCUGGUGAGACUGCCGGUGACAAACCGGAGGAAGGUGGGGAUGACGUCAAAUCAUCAUGCCCCUUAUGACCUGGGCUACACACGUGCUACAAUGGAUGGUACAACGAGUUGCGAACUCGCGAGAGUAAGCUAAUCUCUUAAAGCCAUUCUCAGUUCGGAUUGUAGGCUGCAACUCGCCUACAUGAAGUCGGAAUCGCUAGUAAUCGCGGAUCAGCAUGCCGCGGUGAAUACGUUCCCGGGCCUUGUACACACCGCCCGUCACACCAUGAGAGUUUGUAACACCCAAAGUCGGUGGGGUAACCUUUUAGGAACCAGCCGCCUAAGGUGGGACAGAUGAUUAGGGUGAAGUCGUAACAAGGUAGCCGUAGGAGAACCUGCGGCUG
rnacentral:rRNA from 1 species